UCUCAUAGAUGAGCAAAGAAAGUUUCUUGAGAUGGAAACUACUUUUUGUGAAGAUUCUGUGAA
rnacentral:pre_miRNA from 1 species